CUCCGGGGUACCGUAAAUGGCUAACCGUACAGUCGAGCGAUGGAUUAAGAGCUUGCUCUUAUGAAGUUAGCGGAGCCGUUGAAAGAGUAACACGUGGGUAACCUGCCCAUAAGACUGGCCGGGCGUAAGCGCGCGCAGGGGGUUACUUAAGUAUGAUGUGAAAUCCCCUGGCUCAACCUGGGAAGGCCAUUUCGAACUGAUGGACUUGAGUCGCGUAAGAGGGUUGUGGAAUUAACGGUGUAGCGGUGAAAUGCGUAGACAUCUGAAAGGAACACCAGUGGCGAAGGCGACUGACUGGACUGUGUACUGACUCUGAGGGGCGAAAGCGUGGGGAGCAAACAGGAUUAGAUACCCUGGUAGUCCACGCCGUAAACGAUGAAGGCUAACGGUUCGAUAGAUUCCGUUCUUAAUGGCUCAACUUAACGCCUUAACUGACACCCCCGGGGGAUUCCGGGUCGCCACGACUAAAUCUGAAUGAAGUUGCCGGGGUCCCACGCAACUGGGGAACCCGGAGUUUGAGUUCAAACCACCCCCAAAAGCCUUCCCAGGUCUUGUCUUUAAGUCACUUCCCUAAAAGUGAAGGGUCCCUUUCGGAAACGUAAUACCAGAACUGGCAAGUUUAACUCCACUUCUAGCCUAGAAAUAUGGGAUGAAUUCCAUCACCAACCCCACCCUUUUAUUUUAUUACCGACCCUUCAUGUGGGCACCCUUUAAGUGACAUACCGUGACACAAGCCGAAGAAAGUGGGGAUUAACUGCAAUUUUUCUGCCCCUUUACAGCUGAAGUUAACGCAUUAAGCUCUCCGCCCUGGGGAGUACGGCCGC
rnacentral:rRNA from 1 species